AAACUUUCAACAACGGAUCUCUUGGCUCUGGCAUCGAUGAAGAACGCAGCGAAAUGCGAUAAGUAAUGUGAAUUGCAGAAUUCAGUGAAUCAUCGAAUCUUUGAACGCACAUUGCGCCCGCCAGUAUUCUGGCGGGCAUGCCUGUCCGAGCGUCAUUA
rnacentral:rRNA from 1 species